GUGGCUUGAACAACAAACAUUUAUUUCUCCCAGUUCUCGGGGCUGGGAAGUCCAAGAUCAAGGCUCUAGGAGAUCUUGUAUCUAGUGAGGCUUUGCUUCCUGGCUUGCGCACAGCGACUUUAUUGCUGUAUCCUCACAUAGACAAAAGAGACAUCAUCUCUCUAGUACCUUUCUCUUCUUAUAUGAACACUAAUCCCAUCAUGUGGGCUCCAUCCUCAUGAUCUCAUCUAAACCUAAUACCCUCUUCAAGGCUUUGCCCCCUAAACCAGCCUGUUAGGGAUUAGAGUUUCAAAAUAUGAAUUCUGGGGGAAAUACAAACAUGAAGUUCAUAAGAGGAACUAUGUCUUAAUAUUCUUCAAGUCUAUGGUGUUAAUAUAUAACAGCUACUCAAUAAAUACUUAUUGAAUUACACGCUAUAAUUGCUUCUCAACAUUUUUUAAAAAGGCUAAUGUGAAAGAUCAGAUAAUUUAUAUUUGAUUUAGGAAUGGUCUUGUAUGCUGCCAAGUGAGUAUGGGUGUGCCAGUAAUUCCGAAAUUCACUCUAAAUCUGCAGUUUUCAACCCCCAGACAGUGGAGUGGUACCGAUCCAUGGACUGUUAGGAACCAGGCUAUACAGCAGGAGGUGAGCAGAGUUAGAAUGCAAAUAUAAAGGCCACAGGUGAAAGAGGCAUUGGAUCAUGAGGUAGAGGCAACAUACUGAGGAUGGAGGAGCAUACAAGAUAGAUAGAAGGAGCCUGUAUUUCUCAUACCAUGGUAACAUCCUACCUGCAUGGACAGCUUAUAUUUGGGUUGGUACAUGAGAGAAAUUCAUUUUUAUCUUACUUAAUCCCCUGUUAUUUUGGAGUUUCUCUGUUACUGUAGUCAUGCCUAACUUUCAUACAAAGGUAUGAGAAUUUAAAUUACCAUGGUAUUAGUGGAAAUGAAAAUAAAGACAGAUUUGAAAGGUGA